rnacentral:rRNA from 1 species
UAGGGAAUCUUCCACAAUGGACGAAAGUCUGAUGGAGCAACGCUGCGUGAGUGAAGAAGGUUUUCGGAUCGUAAAGCUCUGUUGUUGGUGAAGAAGGAUAGAGGCAGUAACUGGUCUUUAUUUGACGGUAAUCAACCAGAAAGUCACGGCUAACUACGUGCCAG